AGCUCUGGAGGCCUAGUGGUUAGAGUGUCUGCCUUGGAUGCGGGAGGUCACAGGUUCAAUCCCCGGUCGAGUCG